rnacentral:rRNA from 1 species
UCCUCCCUCCGUCGGCGUGCUUAACACAUGCAAGUCGAACGGAAAGGCCCUGCUUUUGUGGGGUGCUCGAGUGGCGAACGGGUGAGUAACACGUGAGUAACCUGCCCUUGACUUUGGGAUAACUUCAGGAAACUGGGGCUAAUACCGGAUAGGAGCUCCUGCUGCAUGGUGGGGGUUGGAAAGUUUCGGCGGUUGGGGAUGGACUCGCGGCUUAUCAGCUUGUUGGUGGGGUAGUGGCUUACCAAGGCUUUGACGGGUAGCCGGCCUGAGAGGGUGACCGGCCACAUUGGGACUGAGAUACGGCCCAGACUCCUACGGGAGGCAGCAGUGGGGAAUAUUGCACAAUGGGCGGAAGCCUGAUGCAGCAACGCCGCGUGCGGGAUGACGGCCUUCGGGUUGUAAACCGCUUUCGCCUGUGACGAAGCGUGAGUGACGGUAAUGGGUAAAGAAGCACCGGCUAACUACGUG